rnacentral:rRNA from 1 species
CCUACGGGAGACAGCAGUGAGGAAUAUUGGUCAAUGGACGCAAGUCUGAACCAGCCAUGCCGCGUGCAGGAAGACGGCUCUAUGAGUUGUAAACUGCUUUUGUACGAGGGUAAACGCAGAUACGCGUAUCUGUCUGAAAGUAUCGUACGAAUAAGGAUCGGCUAACUCCGUGCCAGCAGCCGCGGUAAUACGGAGGAUUCAAGCGUUAUCCGGAUUUAUUGGGUUUAAAGGGUGCGUAGGCGGUCGGAUAAGUUAGAGGUGAAAUCCCGAGGCUCAACUUCGGAAUUGCCUCUGAUACUGUUCGUCUAGAGCGUAGUUGCGGUAGGCGGAAUGUAUGGUGUAGCGGUGAACUGCUUAGAGUUCAUACAGCACACCGAUUGCGACGGCAGCUUACCAAGCUACUUCUGACGUUGAGGCACGAAAGCGUGGGGAGCAAACAGGAUUAGAUACCCCAGUAGUC